rnacentral:lncRNA from 1 species
GCAAACCACAGUUCACACCUUAACUUUUUAGUUUUUUCCUUAAUUCUUACUUGGUCAGAGCUGACAGCAAGAGCACCAUGAUUCAUGGGCAUGACUUCCUGCACGCAGUCACUUUCCCACGGAGAGGACUGCAGGGGGAGAAAAUCAGAAUGAAGAAAAACAGCAAGAAAACCCUGCAUUUUCUGAACACAAACAUGAAAAUGAAAAGAUCCUGAAAAAAAGGUUCUGGAAUGGGGGCUCAGAGGACUGCAUUCUGUCCCAGGUAUCUUAAAUUGAUAUUGGUAACUGUACUGACUAGGGCACACUAACUAAGCACACUAACUAAGCACACUAACGAAU